AUGAUGGUGACGAUGGUGAUGAUGUCUCAUGAGGCCAACACAGUACUUCAAAACCAAACACUUAGGAAUUUCUUCUCAACCAUCGUUGCUGCAGCCCCAGGGAAAAUCAAGACAGAUGUGAGUGGUCAUGGAAGCUCACAGAUCAUAAAUUUGCUUUCUACUCAUGCUGCUGGAGUGCCCUGCCGUCCUUGUGUUUUUGGCAUCUCUGUACUAUCACCUUUUCCUAAGGUCUGCUCAAUGGACAUUUACUCUACUACAUUGUAAGGGAUGACUAUAGCUUCAUAAUCCCC
rnacentral:lncRNA from 1 species